GCCCACUAUUGCGGGUCAGCGCAGUCUUCGUAGCGCAUUCUGUUUCGAGAAUGGACUUUUCCCGGCAUUCCGAGCUCAACCCGGCGCUUGAGGCCGGCCUUGUGCAGACAUAAUGGUAGCACUCCACGUAGCCUUAGUCAGACUUCCGGGUCUCUGGGCAGUAGAACCCAGAGAGUCUUGAGGCCGCUUUCUUGGUUCCAACGUCCCAACGCCGUGUGCCCCAAGCUGGCCACACAGCCCGGCGCCAUUUCUUUCCCGUCGCUUUUCGCCGCGCUGGCGCCGCAGCCAUGUUGGAUGCGUCGUGUCGCUCUCUUUCAGCGGCCAACAGCCUGGCUGGGCCAAAAGACACCCUGUGUUUCCCGCGUUUCUUACUGAGGUGCUAUUUUCCGAACAAAGGGUUGGCACCUUUUCCUCUGGCCGUAGUUGACGCAGAGGCCACACCUUCCCAGAGUCCUUUCUGAGGUGGGCGCCUUGGACCUUAGCCACCAUGAAAAUGGGUGCCUUACCCGGGUGCCCCACUGCAGAAGCGGUGGGUUUGACAGGCUAGGAUUUGCAAACCCUAUCCGGGGAGGGCAGGCUGGGCUAGGCCGCCGGUGCCA
rnacentral:lncRNA from 1 species